rnacentral:rRNA from 1 species
GACGAACGCUGGCGGCGUGCUUAACACAUGCAAGUCGAACGGAAAGGCCCUGCUUUUGUGGGGUGCUCGAGUGGCGAACGGGUGAGUAACACGUGAGUAACCUGCCCUUGACUUUGGGAUAACUUCAGGAAACUGGGGCUAAUACCGGAUAGGAGCUCCUGCUGCAUGGUGGGGGUUGGAAAGUUUCGGCGGUUGGGGAUGGACUCGCGGCUUAUCAGCUUGUUGGUGGGGUAGUGGCUUACCAAGGCUUUGACGGGUAGCCGGCCUGAGAGGGUGACCGGCCACAGUGGGACGGAGAGACGGCCCAGACGGCUGCGGGAGGCAGCAGUGGGGAAUAGUGCACAAUGGGCGGAAGCCUGAUGCAGCAACGCCGCGUGCGGGAUGACGGCCUUCGGGUUGUAAACCGCUUUCGCCUGUGACGAAGCGUGAGUGACGGUAAUGGGUAAAGAAGCACCGGCUAACUACGUG